rnacentral:rRNA from 1 species
UGAAUACGAGACGCUAAGGCGUCGAAGUAGUGUAUGUCAUACUUCCAAGAAAAGCUUGCACUGUCAUAAGUAAAAAAUGCCUGUACCAUAACCGACACAGGUGGGUAGGUAGAGUAUACUAAGGGGCGCGAGAUAACUCUCUCUAAGGAACUCGGCAAAAUAACUCCGUAACUUCGGGAGAAGGAGUACCUUAUUCUAUAAGGUUGCAAUAACAAGAUCCAAGCAACUGUUUAUCAAAAACACAGGUCUCCGCUAAGUCGUAAGACGAUGUACGGGGGCUGACGCCUGCCCAGUGCCAGAAGGUUAAAGAAGUCGGUUAGCACUAGCGAAGCUGGUAACUGAAGCCCUGGUGAACGGCGGCCGUAACGAUAACGGUCCUAAGGUAGCGAAAUUCCUUGUCGGGUAAGUUCCGACCCGCACGAAAGGCGUAAUGAUUUGGAUACUGUCUCGGAGAGGGGCUCGGUGAAAUAGACUUGUCUGUGAAGAUGCGGACUACCUGCACCAGGACAGAAAGACCCUAUGAAGCUUUACUGUAACUUGAAAUUGAAAUUGGACUUUAUUCGCGCAGUAUAGGUGGGAGGUGUUGAUUAUAAUCUUGCGGGAUUAUUGGAGCCAUCAGUGAGAUACCACUCUUGUAAUGUUAGAUUUCUAACUUUGAAUCAUUAUCUGGUCAAAGGACAGUUUCAGGCGGGCAGUUUGACUGGGGCGUCGCCUCCCAAACGGUAACGGAGGCGUACAAAGGUUUCCUCUGAACGGGUAGAAAUCGUAUCUAGAGUGUAAAGGCAUAAGGAAGCUUGACUGUGAGACCUACAAGUCGAACAGGGACGAAAGUCGGUCUUAGUGAUCUGACGGUACUGAGUGGAAAGGCCGUCACUCAACGGAUAAGAGUUACUCUAAGGAUAACAGGCUGAUCUCCCCCAAGAGUUCACAUCGACGGGGAGGUUUGGCACCUCGAUGUCGGCUCAUCGCAUCCUGGGGCGGUAGUACGUCCCAAGGGUUGGGCUGUUCGCCCAUGAAAGCGGUACGCGAGCUGGGUUCAGAACGUCGUGAGACAGUUCGGUCCAUAUCCGGUGUAGGCGUUAGAAUAUUGAGAGGAGCCUUCUUUAGUACGAGAGGACCGAGAAGGACAUACCUCUGGUGUACCAGUUAUCGUCCAACGGUAAACGCUGGGUAGCUAUGUAUGGAGUGGAUAACCGCUGAAAGCAUCUAAGUGGGAAGCCCACCUCAAGAUAAG